GAUGAACGCUGGCGGCGUGCCUAAUACAUGCAAGUCGAGCGAACAGACGAGGAGCUUGCUCCUCUGACGUUAGCGGCGGACGGGUGAGUAACACGUGGAUAACCUACCUAUAAUACUGGGAUAACUUCGGGAAACCGGAGCUAAUACCGGAUAAUAUAUUGAACCGCAUGGUUCAAUAGUGAAAGACGGUUUUGCUGUCACUUAUAGAUGGAUCCGCGCCGCAUUAGCUAGUUGGUAAGGUAACGGCUUACCAAGGCAACGAUGCGUAGCCGACCGGAGAGGGUGAUCGGCCACACUGGAACUGAGACACGGUCCAGACUCCUACGGGAGGCAGCAGUAGGGAAUCUUCCGCAAUGGGCGAAAGCCUGACGGAGCAACGCCGCGUGAGUGAUGAAGGUCUUCGGAUCGUAAAACUCUGUUAUUAGGGAAGAACAAAUGUGUAAGUAACUAUGCACGUCUUGACGGUACCUAAUCAGAAAGCCACGGCUAACUACGUG
rnacentral:rRNA from 1 species